CCACCUGUCGGGCGGCUCCGCGCGCGGCCGACGGCGGACGCCCCGCCCGGCUCCUGACGAGCGGCCGGCGAGGGCAGCCCGAGGUCCCGGGGGGAUGAGAGCUUUACCGGAGGACCCUCUGCUAUGCGCUGGGGAUACCUUAGUCACGAGAGAGGUCGACGAUCAAAUCAUCACCCUCAACCUGGAAUAAAAGCAACGGGAACUUUGAACAAGGAGGCCUGAUGUGCUCUGGGUGGUGGAGAGUCAAAGAAAGGGAAACGUUCUCGAGAAAAAGCAAAAGUGGAAGUGAAAUGUGGCUGACCUCAGUGCGUGCUGGCUUGGAAGACCGAGGAAUCUCUGCUACAUCCAAGUGCCCAUUCUACCAAGACACCCCACAAGCCUGUUUCCACUGCCGUGAUGGUACAGGAGAAUCUAGAUCUCCUCUGAGAAAUCCCCUUCCUUGUGCUUCAAGAAUAUGCAGAAACAAAAAAUCUUCCCAAGUCCACCAGGACUGUCACACCACAUUAAGGUCCUUGAGUUCAGAAAUGACUUUUUUUUUUAAUUUUGCAAUUUCCUAUGGUUCCUCAUAGAGUUCUGCACAAGGCUGAGAGAACACUGGGGAGUUUUGAAUGCUGAAGCUCUGAAGCCAUUGGAAAGAGUUCAGGAUGAGUUGAAAAGGAGCAUUCCAAACAGGUCUAAGCAUAAAGUAGGAGUUUGAUUAAUCCGUGAUUGGUAACACUUAGGAAUUAGAACAAUAUCAAAUUGUAAAAAAGUUAGUUUCUUCAAACUUGCUCUUUAUAUAUUGACAUUAAAUAUAAAACCCUAUAAUGUGGAUGUAUUCAGUUGCCUUAACAGAAAUGUGUAGCAAUAACAAAAAAUGUUACCUUGAAUUCCCUGAUGCCCACUUUUGUCAAGAGCUCCAAUGCAAGAAACAAUAUUUGUGGACCUUUGUCCGAAGAUAGAUACUUCAUCCACUCCUCUGGUUACUUAAAAUGUUAUCCUUGGAUCAAGCCAAAUCGCUGGACCAACACCCCAGUGUUUUGGCCCUUCACGCAGUUGUUUUUUAUUAUGUAGCAAAAAACUGAAUUUUUUCUUAGCUGACUGCCUGUCCAAUUACAGAGGCACCACCCCCUGGUGUUAGCACAUCUGAAUUGCAGGUUUAGCUCUUGAGAGGAAAAAAUAAACCUUUGGAAAAUUGAACCUGAAAUCCAAACAUAAGAAAUCAGGACAAAUUUUAUAUCUUCUUACAAUGAGAAUAGAAAGCCAGUUCUCUCUGCAGGAAAUGGUAGACUCUCUUUGCCCAGUCAGUGCGCAUGGCCAUAAUUCAUUGAUCUGAAGGGUUCUGAAGCAGGGGGCCACAGUUCAUGUGGCACAGCCAGCUGCUUAUUUGGCAGCCGUCCCCUGGUGGGGCAUUCCUUUCUUGAGCAUUCACUAUCCAGACCUCUCCCCCUUCUCUUCACCAAUCCUGACACCAUCUCUCCAGUCGCAGCUCCAAAUGCCCCAGCUCUGGGCAGCCAGCCCUGCUUCCGUGUUCUUCCCUCCAGGCCUGUUUGAACACCUGCCCGUAAAGUGUGCCUCAUCAGAGGCAGCAGUCCUUCCCCUCGAUUCAAGUCAAGAUGGAAGGAAGUCCGUACACCACUUCUCCUUCCGAAACAGCUUUUGCUGCUUCCCUUGGGGACUUCUGACAGUUCUGUUAGUAUCGAAACCUUUUGCUAAGAAUUUAAAGCCAAAUGUCCUAAAUAACUAUGUAAAUUUGAUUACGGACAUAACAAAUACAUAAAUAUGCA